GCUCGAGCUUAUUUCGAACUGGCUUGAACUAUAAAAAUAAAGAUUCAUCUUUCUAAAGUGCUGACAGAGCCAGCUCGGGCCUUGCUUCGAGCUGGCUCAAGCUGCAAAACUCGAAUUUUGAUUUUUUGUCUACCUGAGAGAGCUGGCAUGAAUUUAUUUUGUGCUGGUUAAAAUUUAUCUUGAUCUAGAUCAAACUGUAGGCUUGAAAAUACUUCUUUUUUU
rnacentral:lncRNA from 1 species